rnacentral:lncRNA from 1 species
GUGACUGCUGGCGAAGAUGGUAUGAUCUAUUUAUCACGGCCACUUUAUGAUGUUAUAUUAUUGUUUCCAUAAUAUUUAAAAAUGGCAACUUGAUAUAAGAAGUAGUGUUUUACUUAUGCUUGAGCAGGUUUACUGAAGCAUCAUGCAUAGUUGGUUACUGGAAUACUAGAUGUUUAUGUGGUUUUGGUUUGAGAUUUCAGGGACUGUUAAUUUUAGCAUUGUUGACAAGUAGGUUAUUUAUUUUUUUCUUAUGUUUAAUAUAUUUUUAAUGAGAUAUUAUUCUUUCUAUUUUUUAAACUCUUCCAUGUUUAUUCUCUUUAGUAGAUUCCUUUUAGUAGAUCAAAUUUUAUUAUUGGAAAGGUUGUUGUUGUUGUCCAUACCGAUCUUGUGACCUUAGAAAGGGUAAACUUUACUCAGAUAUUCAUAUUAACUUUAUAUUUCAUUAAUUUUAGGCAUUAACAUCAGAUGAUAUGGAGCAAUUAGUUAUGAUGUGUUGAGCAUCAAUUUGUAUAUAUAUUAUUUUUUAUUUUUUAUUUUUUAUUUAUUGCAUCAAAAGCAUGCAUGAGCUAGCAAGUCAUUAAAAUCUCCAUCUCUAUUA